rnacentral:rRNA from 1 species
GACUACAUGAAGCUGGAAUCGCUAGUAAUCGCGGAUCAGAAUGCCGCGGUGAAUACGUUCCCGGGUCUUGUACACACCGCCCGUCACACCAUGGGAGUCGGAAAUGCCCGAAGCCGGUGACUCAACCUUUAAGGAGAGAGCCGUCGAAGGCAGGUCUGAUAACUGGGGGUGAAGUCGUAACAAGGUACC